UCCAUUGCAUUUAAUAGAAAAAGAGGACUUUGUGGCAAAUAAAUCAAGAUUUUUAUAGAAAAUCCACAGCCUUUAGCCUAGGGAGCUACCAUUUGAUUUUUAUGGGGGGGCUAGGAUGAAAAAUUUUGUCCUGCAUUUUUUUUUAGCUGUAAUAUCUGUCCUGCCUUUUUAUUUUUCAUUCUGUUCGGUCCUGCCUUUUUAUUUUUUUAGUUUAUCCUGACUUUUUUUUACCUAAAUUGUCGUCCUGACUUUUUUUUUUUUGCAAGUGUCUCAUCCUGUCUUUUUUUUUUACUCAAAACUCCUGUCCUGCCUAUUUUUUUCAAAUUUCAUCCUAGCA
rnacentral:lncRNA from 1 species